GGAACAACCUGCUCGACUCGCUGGAGCCACCUGCCGGACAUGCCAAAAUCAGCUGCCGGCUAUGCCAGAACCACUUGCCGGACACUCCAAAAUCACCUGCCUGGCGUGCCGGAACCACCUCUCAUACGUACCAGAACCACGUGCAGGAGACGCCGGAAGCACCUGCCGAGCAUGCCAGAACCACCUGAUCCACUCCCCAGAACCACCUGCUGGACCCGCCUGAACCAACUGCCGGCUACGCGGGAACCACUUGGCGGACACUCCGGAAUCACCUGCUGUGCAUGCCGGAACCACCCCUCAGACGUGCCUGAAAAACGUGCCGGACACGCCGGAACCAACUCCUGGACUAACCGGAACCACCUUUCGGACAUGCCUGAACCACCUUACGAGCACGCUGGAAACACCUGCUCGACUCGCUGGAACCAGCUGCUGGAUACACCAAAAUGACCUGCCGGCUACGCCAAAACCACUUGCUGACACUCCAGAAUAACCUGCCAUUCAUCCCGGAACCGCCCCUCAGAUGUGCCAGAACCAGGUGCUUGACGCCCCAGACCACUUCCGUGAAAGACUGGAACCACCUGCUGAGCAUUCUGGAAAUACCUGCUCGACUCCCAGGAACCUCCUCUGGGCAAACUGUCAUAGAAAUGCAGGAAACUGAGAAGGAACUCGCUUUCAACAGUGAUCUUACAGAGUCCAGGGAACAUCUCAUACAAAGGCAGCUGAAACGCCGUUUCUUUUCAGCCCUUAACUUGCCGAUUUGGAACUUCUGUUUCUGCCACAUUUCCACCUUGCCAUCCGGGCUCCGACGAAAUGCCUAAAUCUUCCCCUUCAGCGACGGGGACGAGGCCCAGAUGACUGUGCUUCCGCAUGCUUAGCAGGAGCAGACAAUAGGCUUUUUACAAACAGCCAUUGUGCACUGGGUCAGAGAGUGUCAGAAUUGACCUAUGUCAGAAAGGUCCCUUUGCACUCAGCCGUGCCCUCCAUUGCUGUAGAGGUGGAAGGCAAAAAGCACUGCCUCCAUCCUUCAAUGGGAGACAAGACAUCAACUGUCUUGCCUGCAGCUCUUUAGGAAGCUGACAAACAACUCGCUUUCCACAGUCCUGUUACAGCAGACCGGGGAACUUCUCAUACAAAGGCAGCUCAAAUGGCAUUUAUACCCAGCCCUUAACUCGCAGCUUUAGGACUUCUUUUUCUGCCGCAAUUCCACCUUGCCAACCCGGCUCAGACGAAAUGCCUACAUCUUCCCCUGAAGCAACUGGGCUGAGUCCCAAAUGAUUGAGCGUCCAUGUGCUUAGGAGGAGAAGACUCCACGCCUUUUUCCAACAACCAUUGUGCAAUGCUGGAGAGAGUGUCGGAAAGCAGCUAUGUCAGAAAGACCCCUUUGCUCUCAGCUGUGCCCUUCAUUGCUCUAGACGUGGAAUGCACAAUGCACUGGCUCCCCCCCUCCAGGGGCGACAAGACACAGACCAUCUUCCUUCCAUCUCUUUAGGAAGCUGAGCAAGAACUCGCUUUCAACAGUGCUCUUUGUGUGUCCUGGCAACAUCUCAUACAAAGGCAGCUGAUAUGCCAUUUCUUUUCAGCGCUUAACUCGCAGAUUUGGAACUUCUGCUCCUGCCACAUUUCCACCUUGCCAACGCGGCUCAGACGAAAUGUCUACAUCUUCCCCUUCAGCAACGGGGACGAGGCCCAGAUGACUGUGCUUCCGCAUGCUUAGCAGGGGCAGACAAUAGGCUUUUUACACACCGCCAUUGUGCACUGGGUCAGAGAGUGUCAGAAUGCACCUAUGUCAGAAAGGGCCCUUUGCUCUCAGCCGUGCCCUCCAUUGCUCUAGAGGUGGAAGGCACAAAACACUUCUUCCAUCCUUCAAUUGGAGGCAAGCCAUCAACUGUCCUGCUUCCAGCUCUUUAGGAAGCUGGGAAAGCACUCGCAUUCCACAGUGGGCUUACAGCGUUCUGGGAACUUCUCAUACAAAGGCAGCUGAAGACAGUGUCUUUUCAGCCCUUAACUCACCAAUCUGCAACAUCUGGUUCUGCCGCAUUUCCAGCUUGCCAACCCGGCUCAGACGAAAUGCCUACAUCUUCCCCUGAAGCAACUGUGCUGAUUCCCAAAUGAUUGAGCAUCCACAUGCUUAGGAGGCGAUAAACUGCAUGCCUUUUCCCAACCACCAUUUUACACUGCUUAGAGAGCGUCGGAAUGCAGCUAUGUCAGAAAGGCCCCUUUGCUCUCAGCCAUGCCCUCCAUUGCUCUCGAGGUGGAAGGCACAAUGCACUGGUUCUGGAUCCACCCCUCAAUGGGAGAGAAAUCACAUCUUGUCCUGCUUCCAGCUCUUUAGGAAGUGGAGAAAAAACUCCCUUUCCACAGUGCUCUUACAGCAUCCUGGGAACAUCUCAUACAAAGGAGGCUGAACGCCGUUUCUUUUCAGCACUUCACUCGCCAGUCUGGGACAUCUGCAUCCUGCACAUUUCCACCUUGCCAACCCGGCUCAGACGAAAUGCCUACAUCUUCCCCUUGAGCAAUGGGGAUGAGGCCCAUAUGAUUGUGGUUCCACAUGCUGAGGAGGAGAGAGACAAUAGGCUUUUA
rnacentral:lncRNA from 1 species